rnacentral:rRNA from 1 species
AAUGAACGCUGGCGGCAUGCCUUACACAUGCAAGUCGAACGGCAGCAUGACCUAGCUUGCUAGGUUGAUGGCGAGUGGCGAACGGGUGAGUAAUGCAUCGGAACGUGCCUUUUAGUGGGGGAUAACGUAGCGAAAGUUACGCUAAUACCGCAUAUUCUCUGAGGAGGAAAGCAGGGGACCUUCGGGCCUUGCGCUAGAAGAGCGGCCGAUGUCGGAUUAGCUAGUUGGUGAGGUAAAGGCUCACCAAGGCAACGAUCCGUAGCGGGUCUGAGAGGAUGAUCCGCCACUCUGGGACUGAGACACGGCCCAGACUCCUACGGGAGGCAGCAGUGGGGAAUUUUGGACAAUGGGCGCAAGCCUGAUCCAGCCAUGCCGCGUGAGUGAAGAAGGCCUUCGGGUUGUAAAGCUCUUUCGGCUGGGAAGAAAUCGCACCCUCUAAUACAGGGUGUGGAUGACGGUACCAGCAUAAGAAGCACCGGCUAACUACGUG